GCUAUUCAAACCCCUAUUUCUAUCGUUUUUCAUACCUUCACAUAUGUUGUGUUUAAUUGUUAUUCACACGCUACUUAUAACGAUGCUGAAUUUCGCUAGGACUUAUAUUACAUGACUCUAGGAAGUUUGCCAUUUCUUGCCUUGUUUGUUUUGUUUGUGCUUGGGCGGUCGGCAAACUUCCAGGCUAUAACAAGUGUUGUUGUGGGUAGCUGUCGUGUUGCUGUGAGGAGGUGAUUGUGUUGUUGGCUGAAACUUGUAAGGAUGUUUGUAUAACUUUCUUUGGUUUUGGGUAGGUUCUGAUGCAUUGCUCUUCUGCGAUUCUCCACUGCGGGGAUUGUAGGAAGUAUAUUGGACUUAGGGUGUUAUCGCAUUCUGAAC
rnacentral:lncRNA from 1 species